GUUUAUGGCCAUGCUACCCUGAGCAAACCCAAUCCCGUCUGAUCUUGGAAGCUAAGCAGGGUGGGGCCUGGGUAGUGCUUGGAUGGGAGACUACCUAGGAAGGCCAGGUGCUGUAGGCA
rnacentral:rRNA from 1 species